AUUGAACGCUGGCGGCAGGCCUAACACAUGCAAGUCGAACGAGUGGCAGACGGGUGAGUAAUGUCUGGGAAACUGCCUGAUGGAGGGGGAUAACUACUGGAAACGGUAGCUAAUACCGCAUACCAUCAGAUGUGCCCAGAUGGGAUUAGCUAUGUGGUGGGGUAACGGCUCACCAAGGCGACGAUCCCUAGCUGGUCUGAGAGGAUGACCAGCAACACUGGAACGGAGACACGGUCCAGAUGCCUACGGUGGGCAGCAUUGGGGAAUAUUGCAAAAUGGGCGCAAGCUGGACGCAGCCAGGCCGCGUGUAUGAAGAAGGCCUUCGGGUUGUAAAGUACGUUCAGCGGGGAGGCGUUACCCGCAGAAGAAGCACCGGCUAACUCCGUGCCAGCAGCCGCGGUAAUUC
rnacentral:rRNA from 1 species